rnacentral:piRNA from 1 species
UGGAACAUGAGCUAACGCCUCUGAGACCA